GAGAAAUUGAAGUUAACAGCUGAGGAGAUUGAGAUGGGUCUUAUCGAAUCCAACAACACAAACGCUCAGCUUCACAUUGCUCUUUUAAAGGGGAUACCACCGGUAAAUAAAAACCUUGACGAUGCAAAUGCAUGGAUCACGGUGUUGUGUAAGAAACUUGCUCCAUGGUGGCCAUGGAUUGCUACUGGUGAAAUUCCUUUAAC